GGCUCAGACUGUGGCCUCCAAGCAGAGUGGGGGUGACAGGAGGCUCCUGACUAGCGGAUGACACAAGGGCCUUGUGGUCACUUCAAGUUCAUCUCCCAACGCUGCGGAGGGACCUGGAUGACGUGGCCAGCACGUGGUGGACAGGGGAGGGAUGGGGACCUGGCCACCGUGGGAGGGGCUGCCGUGCAGGGCAGCCAGGGACGGGGCAAGGGGAGUGGGAGGGCUGUCUUGCAGCCGAGGGGGCCCUGUUAGUGUGCAGGGAGCCGCAGGCCAAGCCGCGGACUUCCUUCUGCGGGGCUGUGGUGGGCGUGAGGCUGGGGAAGAGCAAAAUCACAACAAAAUCACACAAAAAAGCAGCCAAACCCACAACAACCAGGAGCACGUUUGAACCAGACGAUCGAGGGAAGCGCAGGUGUCCUUCUGGCCUGUGUGGAAACCCGCGAGCCCCCGAAGAGCAGCCACGGGCAGACGGGCAGGAGCGGGCAGCAGGGCACGGGCCGCGGCCUGCCAGGCGCUGGUGGGAACCACAUGCUCUCUCCCGGGCACCUCGGGUGUCAGGCCCAAAGGCCAUGAGCCUGGGUCCCUCCCACUCGUAAGUAGACACUCACCUUGGUCCUCAAGUUGGCCCAGUCCUGUGGUCUCCUUACAGGGCCUCCACCUCUGUCUGGUGGGUUGUGGGCUGAGCGGAGGCCCCUCUGGGAGGCCCGAGGCCGGGGCUUGGGGUGGACAUCUUUUGCCAUCAACCAGUGCUGUUCUCUUCUCCCUGGUGGACAGGCCGUCCCAGGGUGACAGGAUCUGUGCCUGCCUGUCCCUGGGCUGUGACCCCAUGGCCUGACCCCCAGGGUCCCACUGCCUCCUGUCCUGCCUGUCCUUGUCUGCACCCUGCCCCCUCUUGGGCAUGAGAAAUGAAGCUCAGAGAAAGGAGAGGACCCUCGGGAGCCACAUGGUCGGUGUCAUGGACACAGUGGCUAGAUGACGAGUGUCGGAACUUGCCCCUGCAGGUGGGCAGUGCACACCAGGCUCAGCUCACACCCCACCCUCCCAGGGUUGCUAAGGACCUACUGCAGACACCAGGGACCCUCCCUGGGGGACAGCCGCCCUUGUCACCUGGAAAGUGGCCCCUCACAGUGGCCCACACCCUAACCCUGGGGCAGACCAGUGUCACCGGGUUUGGAAGAGGUCUUGUGGACGAGAUGUGGUCCUGGAUGACCCAGCGGGGCCCCAAGCCAGGCCAGGAGGGAGGCCGCAUGCACACCAGACUGGAGCCACAUGGCCUUCGACAGGGGACCCCUGGAGUCCCCAGGAGCUGGCGGAGCACCCACUUGUGAGGGCCCAGAGGAGGGAGCAAACUGCUGAGCCGGCCCCCAGGUGCAUCAGGAAUCUCCUGCCACGGGACCUUUGCACGGGCUCUUUCCUGCGCCCAAGACUCCUGGCUCAGAUCCCCGUCCCCUUAGGUCCUGGUCUAGACGUUCCUUUACCUUGAUUGCCCGAUUAAAGUGUCAGCUUCCCCCUCCCCACA
rnacentral:lncRNA from 1 species